GCGAGCUGCCCGGCCUGGAGGUGCGGAAGUUCGCCGCCGCUGUUCAUUGGCAGGCAGCGCCGCUUUCAUCAUUUCUCAGAAAAGUCCAUUUCAUUUUCACUUCCCCACGUCGCGGCAGCGGGAGCAACAAGCGGCUGCGCAACGGAACAUCCUAGGACCGUCUACCUGGAUGCAUCAGGACUCAUUUCUUUUCAAGGGAGUCGAGAAAGGAGAGUGAUUACUUGGCCAUGCAGCAAUUGACCUCUCCAUGAUUGAAACUUAAAGAUACAUUCAAGACAGCUGUUUUCAAAAGACACUAUGAGGGCUGAGUGCGUUGUGUGGGCCUGCGGCUGCCCACCCUCCACAGGACCGUGCUCAGCAAUUUUGGAGGCGACAAAGAAGAAAGAGGCCUGCUUCCCGAUCUUGAGGCAUUUGCAGUCCACGUUGGGAGACAGGGCCCACAGUGCAAAGAUGAUUAUUUCAAGACAGAAAUGGCAUGUGGCCCCACUCCCAGGGGACCAGGAUGUAUUAUAAAGAAUGAAGAUCAAGAUGCAAAGAAAGGUUCAUAUUUUGAUCUCCUUUUUGCAAAGACAACAGUGGACACCCCCCAAAAAAGUUUGAAUUUAAAAGGAUAAAGGUGUAGAUAUGAAGCUGUUAAUAUUGGUCACCUUAAGGACAGGUGAGCUACUAAUUUUUUUCUUUAUUUAUUUUUGUACUGAGUAAAAAGAUGAUAAUUUUAAAACAAAAUGAAAAUUUGGAAAUACAGAGCAGAU